GUGGGGAAUAUUGGACAAUGGGCGCAAGCCUGAUCCAGCCAUGCCGCGUGAGUGAUGAAGGCCUUAGGGUUGUAAAGCUCUUUCAGUAGGGAAGAUAAUGACGGUACCCACAGAAGAAGCCCCGGCUAACUUCGUGCCAGCAGCCGCGGUAAUACGAAGGGGGCUAGCGUUGUUCGGAUUUACUGGGCGUAAAGCGCACGUAGGCGGAUCGUUAAGUCGGGGGUGAAAUCCUGGAGCUCAACUCCAGAACUGCCUUCGAUACUGGCGAUCUUGAGUCCAGAAGGGGUGAGUGGAACUCCUAGUGUAGAGGUGGAAUUCGUAGAUAUUAGGAAGAACACCAGUGGCGAAGGCGGCUCACUGGUCCGGUACUGACGCUGAGGUGCGAAAGCGUGGGGAGCAAACAGGAUUAGAUACCCGUGUAGUCC
rnacentral:rRNA from 1 species